rnacentral:rRNA from 1 species
GAUGAACGCUGGCGGCGUGCUUAACACAUGCAAGUCGAGCGGUAACGCGGGGGCAACCCUGGCGACGAGCGGCGAACGGGUGCGUAAUGCAUGGGAAUCUGCCUAGUAGUGGGGAAUAACCCGGGGAAACUCGGGCUAAUGCCGCAUACGACCUACGGGUGAAAGCGGGGGAUCGCAAGACCUCGCGCUAUUGGAUGAGCCCAUGUCGGAUUAGCUAGUUGGUAGGGUAACGGCCUACCAAGGCGACGAUCCGUAGUUGGUCUGAGAGGACGGCCAGCCAACCUGGGACUGAGACACGGCCCAGACUCCUACGGGAGGCAGCAGUGGGGAAUAUUGGACAAUGGGGAAACCCUGAUCCAGCGACGCCGCGUGUGUGAAGAAGGCCUGCGGGUUGUAAAGCACUUUCGAUGGGAACGAAAUGUGCCGACCUAAUACGUCCGCAAGCUGACGUUACUCAAUGAAGAAGCACCGGCUAACUCUGUGCCAGCAGCCGCCGUAAUAC